AUUGAACGCUGGCGGCAGGCCUAACACAUGCAAGUCGAGCGGAUGACGGGAGCUUGCUCCUUGAUUCAGCGGCGGACGGGUGAGUAAUGCCUAGGAAUCUGCCUGGUAGUGGGGGACAACGUUUCGAAAGGAACGCUAAUACCGCAUACGUCCUACGGGAGAAAGCAGGGGACCUUCGGGCCUUGCGCUAUCAGAUGAGCCUAGGUCGGAUUAGCUAGUAGGUGAGGUAAUGGCUCACCUAGGCGACGAUCCGUAACUGGUCUGAGAGGAUGCUCAGUCACACUGGAACUGAGACACGGUCCAGACUCCUACGGGAGGCGGUAGUGGGGAAUAUUGGACAAUGGGCGAAAGCCUGAUCCAGCCAUGCCGCGUGUGUGAAGAAGGUCUUCGGAUUGUAAAGCACUUUAAGUUGGGAGGAAGGGUUGUACGUUAAUACCGUGCAAUUUUGACGUUACCGACAGAAUAAGCACCGGCUAACUCUGUGCCAGCCGCCGCAUAAUAC
rnacentral:rRNA from 1 species